CCUACGGGAGGCAGCAGUGAGGAAUAUUGGUCAAUGGACGAGAGUCUGAACCAGCCAAGUAGCGUGAAGGAUGACUGCCCUAUGGGUUGUAAACUUCUUUUAUAUGGGAAUAAAACGUUCCACGUGUGGGAUUUUGUAUGUACCAUAUGAAUAAGGAUCGGCUAACUCCGUGCCAGCAGCCGCGGUAAUACGGAGGAGCCGAGCGUUAUCCGGAUUUAUUGGGUUUAAAGGGAGCGUAGGUGGAUUGUUAAGUCAGUUGUGAAAGUUUGCGGCUCAACCGUAAAAUUGCAGUUGAAACUGGCAGUCUUGAGUACAGUAGAGGUGGGCGGAAUUCGUGGUGUAGCUGUGAAAAGCUUAGAUAUCACGAAGAACUCCGAUUGCGAAGGCAGUUCACUGGACUGCAACUGACACUGAGGCUCGAAAGUGUGGGUAUCAAACAGGAUUAGAUACCCCAGUAGUC
rnacentral:rRNA from 1 species